rnacentral:rRNA from 1 species
AUUGAACGCUGGCGGCAUGCUUUACACAUGCAAGUCGAACGGUAACAGGCCUUUGGGCGCUGACGAGUGGCGAACGGGUGAGUAAUGCAUCGGAACGUGCCCAGUCGUGGGGGAUAACGCAGCGAAAGCUGUGCUAAUACCGCAUACGAUCUGCGGAUGAAAGCGGGGGACCUUCGGGCCUCGCGCGAUUGGAGCGGCCGAUGUCAGAUUAGGUAGUUGGUGGGGUAAAGGCUCACCAAGCCAACGAUCUGUAGCUGGUCUGAGAGGACGACCAGCCACACUGGGACUGAGACACGGCCCAGACUCCUACGGGAGGCAGCAGUGGGGAAUUUUGGACAAUGGGCGCAAGCCUGAUCCAGCAAUGCCGCGUGCAGGAAGAAGGCCUUCGGGUUGUAAACUGCUUUUGUACGGAGCGAAAAGGCUCCCUCUAAUACAGGGGGCUCAUGACGGUACCGUAAGAAUAAGCACCGGCUAACUACGUGCCAGCAGCCGCCGUAAAAC